rnacentral:rRNA from 1 species
UACAGGGGGUGCUAGCGUUGUUCGGAAUUACUGGGCGUAAAGGGCGCGUAGGCGGUUUUGUAAGUCAGGAGUGAAAAUCCCAGAGCUUAACUCUGGAAUUGCUUUUGAAACUACAAGGCUAGAGUAUGUUAGAGGAUGUGGGAAUUCCUAGUGUAGAAGUGAAAUUCGUAGAUAUUAGGAAGAACACCGGUGGCGAAGGCGCACAUCUGGGACAUAACUGACGCUGAGGCGCGAAAGCGUGGGGAUCAAACAGG